rnacentral:rRNA from 1 species
GAACUAUGCCGGAGUAGGGCGAAGCCAGAGGAAACUCUGGUGGAGGCUCGUAGCGGUGCUGACGUGCAAAUCGCUCGUCGAACUUGGGUAUAGGGGCGAAAGACUAAUCGAACCAUCUAGUAGCUGGUUUCCUCCGAAGUUUCUCUCAGGAUAGCAGGCCGACACUUUUUUUUUUACGUUGUUUUGUGCGGUAAAGCGAAUGAUUAGCGUAAUCGGGGGCGUUUAGCCUUUGGACGAUUCUCAAACUUUAAAUGCGCAAGGGUACCGGUGCUUUGUUGAGCGGUACCGUUAAAAACGUCGGCCUUGUGGGCCACUUUUGGUAAGCAGAACUGGCGAUACGGGAUGAACCGUAAGCAUGGUUAAGGUGCCAAACUGCCCGCUUAUAGAUCCCACAAAAGGUGUUGAUUCAUCGAGACAGCAGGACGGUGGCCAUGGAAGUCGGAAUCCGCUAAGGAGUGUGUAACAACUCACCUGCCGAAUGAAUCAGCCCUGAAAAUGGAUGGCGCUUAAGCGGGCGACCGACACCAUGCCGUCUGUACAAGAUGAAAUGUUUACAGAUGAGUAGGAGGACGUGGCGGUCGUGUCGAAGCAUGCGUGCGAACGCGUGUGGAACGGCCGCUAGUGCAGAUCUUGGUGGUAGUAGCAAAUAUUCAAGCGAGAUCCUUGAAGGGCGAAGCGGGGAAGGGUUCCACGCAAACAUUGAUUGGGCGUGGGUGAGUCGUUCCUAAGCCGAGUGGCAAUUGCUAAGUAGCGGCGAAAGGGAAGCAGGUUGACAUUCCUGCACACGGAUGUGGAGGCGGUGACGCUUUAAUGAGGGCGAAGACGCUGGCGAUGGCGCUGGGCAGAGAUUUCUUUUCUGUUUGACCGCUGAAGCGCGCGGUGUGGAAUCCGCUUGUCGGGAGAAACACGCGCGUUCGGGCAGAGCGCCGGGGCUAUUCCGGCGUCCAGCUCGCCAUCGACGGCCCUUGAAAAUUUGCCUGCUGGAAUGGUUUUUUUUUNAAAAUUCUAUGAAGAUCCACGCCGUGGCGUACCGAUAACCGCAUCAGGUCCCCAAGGUGAACAGCCUCUGCUCUAUAUGAAUAAUGCAGGUAAGGGAAGUCGGCAAAUUGGACCCGUAACUUUGGGAAAAGGGUUGGCUCUAGUGCUGCGUGGGAGUAGUUGUCGGGUGUGGGCGUUUUUGGACUUGCUGAGCGAGCGCGAGGAGGCAUCUUCGGGUGUUUCCUUGUGUUCAAUUGGCGAGUCUGGAUCCGCCUCGCUCGACGACGCCCACGGCAUGCAGCAGACUAGAACUGCAACGGGCAAAGGGAAUCCGACUGUUUAAUUAAAACAAAGCAUUGCGAGGGCCGUGGCCGGUGAUGACGCAAUGUGAUUUCUGCUCAGUGCUCUGAAUGUCAAAGUGAAGAGAUUCAAUCAAGCGCGGGUAAACAGCGGGAGUAACUAUGACUCUCUUAAGGUAGCCAAAUGCCUCGUCAUCUAAUUAGUGACGCGCAUGAAUGGAUUAACGAGAUUCCUACUGUCCCUAUCUGCUUCUAGCGAAACCACAGCCGAGGGAACGGGCUCGGCGAAAUCGGCGGGGAAAGAAGACCCUGUUGAGCUUGACUCUAUUCUAAUUUUGUGAAGCAAGCUGGGAGGUGUAGCAUAGGUGGGAGAUGCUUGCAUCGUCCGUGAAAUACCACUACUCCCAGUCUUGCUUUACUUACUGGGUCGGUGUGGAUGAGUCUUACGACUCUUUUCUGGAACCAACUUGGAACCGUUCUGCGGAUCCAAGGACCACAGCCCAGUACACAUUUAGGAGGGGAGUUUGGCUGGGGCGGUACAUCUUCUACAAGACAACGAAGGUGUCCAAAGAUAAGCUCAGUGAGGACAGAAAUCUCACGUAGCGCAAAAGGGUAAAAGCUUGUUUGAUUUUGAUUUUCAGUGCGAGUCAAAAACGCGAAAGCGUGGCCUAUCGAUCCUUUCACGAUUCGAGAUUUGAAGCGAGAGGU